ensembl:lncRNA
CUUGGAUGGAGAUGUUUUUUUGUACUCCUUUCCAGACAAGAAAAGCUUUGUAUAUCUGUAGCAUCCAUCUUUAGCAUUACAAAUCGAACAACACUCAAUUCUGCCCCUGUGUCGUUCCUUUUGUACCCAGUGCCACUGCAGCAGCCUAACAUCUCCCUGACAUCUCCCGACGGAGCAGGGCUGCUCUGGAGUGCGGAGGCUGCGGUGGUCACAAGGGGUCACGGCUUUGUCAUCACCUGCUCAAUUUCCAAACACUACCCCGGAGGUGUUUUCUCUCUCAUCUUCUUCGGCUCCAACAUCACUGACACCGAGCCUGCCGUCGACCACUCGGCCACCUUUGAGUUCCCCGUAGCUGGGUACCAACACCAGGGCAACUACAGCUGCGUGUACAAAGUCACGUUGUCCUCGAGGACAUUCACUUCUAUAGAGACAACAUCCAUUAGUGUCAUCAUUAAAUCGCCUCUGCUGCGGCCGCUGCUCUCCUCGUUGGCUCCUGGGGGCCUGGUGCUGCUCCUGUGGGUCCUGGCGCUGAUCUGUCUGGUCCACAAGAGACGACGACAAGCGAUGUCGCCUGCAGUCGCCCACUUCGCUCAAUGUGCUGUCAGGAAUCACCGUGUGGCCUGUGAGGAGGAGGAGGAGGAGCACUAUGUGAACUUCACGCCAGUGCAGUACAAGGAGAGGCAGAGGAAGCCAACGAGGGCGCUGAUGGAUGAAGAUCGUGAUAAAGAAAAGGAGAGAAAAGAAGAGGAGAGUGCUGAGUAUGAGGGAGAGCAGAACCACGGAGACCUUCCAGAGAUCCAUGGAGGACAAGAAGACAUUUAUGAAACAUUUUAGUUUCUCCAGUAGAACAAUAGCACAGGGAUUAAUUGACUCACUGAAAGCAUUUCAACACCUGUUUGUUGCCAGAUUAACAGCAAUAUUUGGGAACUUUGCCAUAUAUUUACUUUUCUCAUUAAAAAAUAUAUCACAGAUAGUGUCACUGUUAACAUUUAACACUUAGAUUCAACACUGAGCUUUAAAUUUGACAUAUGCUGUAGGUUGGAAUUUAAUAUUUAGAUUUGACAUUGACAUUUUCUUUAAUAUAUAUUCUAUUUAUGGAUAAAUAUGACAAAGUUCAUAAAUGUCGCUGCAAAUCUGGUGAAAGAGUGACUUCAAAAUUUCCCACCACUAUUUGAGGUAAAAUUAUGGCAAAAUGUUACGGUAAUUUUUAGCGCGCGAUGCUUUACAAUCAAUCAUAUUUUAGUGACAUCCCACAAUGCACAUAUGAAAUAACUUCCUGUCUGUAAAAAUCUAUGAGGAAAUAAGAAAACAUUAUGUUAAUUCAUUUUUCUUUUCAUAUAGUAUCAACUUACUAUCAUAGUAAAGAAGUCGAGUAUUCUUUGUGCAUGCCACUUAGAGAUACCAUGACAUAAUAAAAAAUAAAAGAAACGGUGACCAGUGUUAAAACUAUAUAUAUAAACACACUGCAUCAGCUUAUUUGUUUAUAACUGUGGUAUACUUAAAUCUACAGUGUUCAAUAUUUAGAAGAACGUAUUUACAGAUAUUAAAUAUAUUGUCCAUGAUUGUGUGUUCAUAUAUGUAUAAUCACCCCGGCAACAAAAAAACCAAUAUUUUUUCGUCAAUUUUGAAUGAGUUAAAUAUAGUAACAUGAGGUGGACCCGACCUCCGUGUAAAUCACCAUGUUUGCUAAGUCGUGUUGCCGACUUCAGGGGUCCCGGUUCCGAGGUAUAAUGAAACGCAGCAUUAAAUACAGUUGCAGGAAACAGUCCCGAAUACGUCGCAUUCGUGUUGAAUUUCCAGCGCUGCUGGAAACCGGAAAUGGAAUUAGCGGUGCGCCACCAUAAAGUGUCCCCUGUCGGAUGCUCACUUAGUUGCUGUUUGCAACUUUACCACCAGAUGCCGCCAGAAAAGUGCAAACACGGUGUGUGUACCUGAAUAAGUUGUGUGAAUGAUAGUUCCUCUGCUUAUAGGAAGCUGCAACUCCUCAGUUGGUUGUUAAAAUGGGAAAUCCCUUUGAGGCGUUGACGUAAAGUGUGUCUCAUACGUAUGCACUAUUAUGUAUAAUGUGUUGUAUGAUGAACAAUAAAAUAUGUUUGCGGUCUGACAGUAAAGUUGUUCCUCAUACUACAAGCGCUGCUGGAGUUUUGAUCACCACAUACCAGAGACGUCCAGUUGCCUUCGUGAAGGCCGAGCACAUGUAUCAUUCAUCAUGACCUGGAUGACAUU